ACACAUGCAAGUCGAACGGCUGCACGGGAGCUUGCUCCUGGUGGCGAGUGGCGAACGGGUGAGUAAUGUAUCGGAACGUACCCCGUCGUGGGGGAUAACUCUCCGAAAGGAGAGCUAAUACCGCAUACGACCCGAGGGUGAAAGCGGGGGACCUGGGGUAACCUGGGCCUCGCGCGAUGGGAGCGGCCGAUAUCGGAUUAGCUAGUUGGUGGGGUAAAGGCCUACCAAGGCGACGAUCCGUAGCGGGUCUGAGAGGACGACCCGCCACACUGGAACUGAGACACGGUCCAGACUCCUACGGGAGGCAGCAGUGGGGAAUUUUGGACAAUGGGCGCAAGCCUGAUCCAGCCAUUCCGCGUGAGUGAAGAAGGCCUUCGGGUUGUAAAGCUCUUUCAGCAGGAACGAAACGGUGGGUCUUAAUACGGCCUGCUAAUGACGGUACCUGCAGAAGAAGCACCGGCUAACUACGUGCCAGCAGCCGCAGUAAUACGUAGGGUGCGAGCGUUAAUCGGAAUUACUGGGCGUAAAGCGUGCGCAGGCGGCGACAUAAGACAGAUGUGAAAUCCCCGGGCUCAACCUGGGAACGGCGUUUGUGACUGUGUGGCUAGAGUGUAGCAGAGGGGGGUGGANUCCACGUGUAGCAGUGAAAUGCGUAGAGAUGUGGAGGAACACCGAUGGCGAAGGCAGCCCCCCUGGGUNACACUGACGCUCAUGCNCGAAAGCGUGGGGAGCAACAAGAUNAGAUACCUGGUAGUCCACGCCCUANACGAUGCCAACUAGGUGUUGGGGAGGAGACUUCCUUAGUACCGUAGCUAACGCGUGAAGUUGGCCUGGGCCUGGGGAGUACGGUCGCAAGAUGCUAAAACUCAAAGGAAUUGACGGGGACCCGCACAAGCGGUGGAUGAUGUGGAUUAAUUCGAUGCAACGCGAAAAACCUUACCUACCCUUGACAUGUCCGGAAUCCCGAAGAGAUUUGGGAGUGCUCGAAAGAGAGCCGGAACACAGGUGCUGCAUGGCUGUCGUCAGCUCGUGUCGUGAGAUGUUGGGUUAAGUCCCGCAACGAGCGCAACCCUUAUCAUUAGUUGCCAUCAUUGAGUUGGGCACUCUAAUGAGACUGCCGGUGACAAACCGGAGGAAGGUGGGGAUGACGUCAAGUCCUCAUGGCCCUUAUGGGUAGGGCUUCACACGUCAUACAAUGGUCGGUACAGAGGGUUGCCAACCCGCGAGGGGGAGCUAAUCUCACAAAGCCGAUCGUAGUCCGGAUCGCAGUCUGCAACUCGACUGCGUGAAGUCGGAAUCGCUAGUAAUCGUGGAUCAGCAUGUCACGGUGAAUACGUUCCCGGGUCUUGUACACACCGCCCGUCACACCAUGGGAGUGGGUUCCACCAGAAGUAGGUAGUCUAACCGC
rnacentral:rRNA from 1 species